rnacentral:rRNA from 1 species
AGCGAACGCUGGCGGCAGGCCUAACACAUGCAAGUCGAACGGCAGCACAGUAAGAGUUUGCUCUUACGGGUGGCGAGUGGCGGACGGGUGAGGAAUACAUCGGAAUCUACUUUUUCGUGGGGGACAACGUAGGGAAAAUGCUGCUAACGCCUAAAACCUCUAAAGGCGAAAAUCAGGGGUGCUUGGGGCCUUUGCCGCUCAAAUAGGUCGUUCUGGGAUUAGUUAGUUGGGGGGGUAAAGGCCGACCAAGCCGAGGAUCCGUAGCUGGUCUGACAGGAUGAUCAGCAACACUGGAACUGGGACACGGUCCAGCCUCCUACGGGAGGAAGCAGAGGGGAAUAUUGGACAAUGGGCGCAAGCCUGAUCCAGCCAUACCGCGUGGGUGAAGAAGGCCUUCGGGUUGUAAAGCCCUUUUGUUGGGAAAGAAAAGCGGCAGGUUAAUACGCCGAUGUUCUGACGGUACCCAAAGAAUAAGCACCGGCUAACUUCGUG